rnacentral:rRNA from 1 species
UACGUAGGGGGGCUAGCGUUGUUCGGAUUCAUUGGGCGUAAAGCGCGUGUAGGCGGUUCGGUAAGUCCGCUGUGAAAGUCGGGGGCUCAACCCUCGAAUGCCGGUGGAUACUGUCGGACUAGAGUACGGAAGAGGAGAGUGGAAUUCCUGGUGUAGCGGUGAAAUGCGCAGAUAUCAGGAAGAACACCCGUGGCUAAGGCGGCUCUCUAGUACGGUACUGACGCUGAGACGCGAAAAGCGUGGGGGAGCGAACAGGG